UGUAGCAAUACAUCGGAAGAUCUAGUGGCGAACGGGUGAGGAUCACGUGAGAAACCUGCCCCAGACUCUGGGAUAACAAUUGGAAACGAUUGCUAAUACCGGAUGACGUCGGAGAACCGCAUGGUUCACUGACGAAAGAACUUUGGUCAGGGAUGAGCUCGCGGCCUAUCAGCCAGUUGGUGAGGUAAUGGCUCACCAAGGCGACGACGGGUAGCCGGCCUGAGAGGGUGACCGGCCACACUGGGACUGAGACACGGCCCAGACUCC
rnacentral:rRNA from 1 species